UACGGAGGGUGCCAGCGUUAUCCGGAAUUACUGGGUUUAAAGGGUGCGUAGGCGGCUUCAUAAGUCAGGGGUGAAAGCCUAGCGCUUAACGAUAGCAUUGCCUUUGAUACUGUAAAGCUUGAAAGGGGUUGAGGUCAGCAGAAUGUGGCAUGUAGCGGUGAAAUGCAUAGAUAUGCCAUAGAACACCGAUUGCGAAGGCAGCUGGCUGGGCCCACUUUGACGCUGAGGCACGAAAGCGUGGGGAGCGAACAGG
rnacentral:rRNA from 1 species